CCCCUCCAUCCCACCCUCAUGGCCGCUGAGCUGAAACGCCCCAGCAGAAAGGAGCAGCGUCCGUGGGGGCCCUCGGCCGGCCCCCCGGCCCAGCAUCCCAGGCUCGGGCUGUGCCCCUCACCCCCUCCAACAGACACGAGCAGCCACCACUCACGUCGGCGUCGCUGGCGCCCGGGAACGCCACCUGCAGCCCCGGAGACCAGAAGGCACCGUCUCCUGCCUGCUCCCCGGCGCUGGCCUCCCACCUCACGUCAGGCCUCCCUCGGAUCAUUGAAACCACACAGCUGGGCCUAGGGCCCGGCCCCAGCAGGUGCGCACAACCCUCUCGGGGAAGGCACCGCUGCAGACGCGUGCUGCACCUACAGGAAGGCCCUGGUCUCAGUCUCCUGAGGAGAGAGGGGGUGGAAGCUUCUGGGUGAAGCUGAAGACUGGCUCACAUGCCUUGAGCCACGUCCCUCCUACAACCUGUUAAUAGCACGUAGCCUUGCGUGCAGUCUUCCAAAACCAGAUGAGGAAGUAGAAAACUUGAACAUGCCAGCGACUAGUAACGCAACGGGAUCGGUAAUCAGAGAUCUCCAAGCACACAAAUUACAGGACCGGACGGCCUCACCAGUGAAUUCUACCGAA